GUUCGAAAUCCUUCAUUUAUGAUGUCUUUAAUGUUUACAUAUUAUAAUAAGCUCCUUUUGUGCUUUUAUAAUUGAACAGGAACAUGUACAGGGGAACAUGGUGUUGGCACUGGGAAAAUGAAGUACCUUGAAAAGGAACUUGGAAUAGAGGCUUUGAGGACAAUGAAAAGAAUAAAGGCAGCCUUGGAUCCCAACAAUAUCAUGAAUCCAGGAAAAGUGAUUCCUCCUCAUGUCUGUUUCUAAGCUAUAUCCAUAUUCAGAUUGUAGAACUGCAUGUUGUCCUAUAUUAGCCGAGAAGUCUCUAAUAAUUGUAAAUCAUACUUUAUAUUUUGGAUUAGAAAAUCAUGAGAACCAAUGUGACUUUAGCUGUUUUACUUCGAUCA